rnacentral:rRNA from 1 species
GAUGAACGCUGGCGGCGUGCUUAACACAUGCAAGUCGAACGAAGCACUUUAAUUGAUUUCCUUCGGGACUGAUUAUUUUGUGACUGAGUGGCGGACGGGUGAGUAACGCGUGGGUAACCUGCCUUGUACAGGGGGAUAACAGUUGGAAACGGCUGCUAAUACCGCAUAAGCGCACGGCAUCGCAUGAUGCAGUGUGAAAAACUCCGGUGGUAUAAGAUGGACCCGCGUUGGAUUAGCUAGUUGGUGAGGUAACGGCCCACCAAGGCGACGAUCCAUAGCCGACCUGAGAGGGUGACCGGCCACAUUGGGACUGAGACACGGCCCAAACUCCUACGGGAGGCAGCAGUGGGGAAUAUUGCACAAUGGGCGAAAGCCUGAUGCAGCGACGCCGCGUGAGCGAAGAAGUAUUUCGGUAUGUAAAGCUCUAUCAGCAGGGAAGAUAAUGACGGUACCUGACUAAGAAGCACCGGCUAAAUACGUG